GAUGAAGAACUCAGCGAAACGCGAUAAGUAAUGAGAAUUGCAGAAUCCAGUGAAUCAUCGAAUCUUUGAACGCACAUUGCGCCCGCCAGCAUUCUGGCGGGCAUGCCUGUUCGAGCGUCAUUUCAACCCUCGACCUCCCCUUGGGGAGGUCGGCGUUGGGGACCGGCAGCACACCGCCGGCCCUGAAAUGGAGUGGCGGCCCGUCCGCGGCGACCUCUGCGCAGUAAUACAGCUCGCACCGGGACCCCGACGCGGCCACGCCGUAAAACACCCAACUUCUGAACGUUGACCUCGAAUCAGGUAGGACUACCCGCUGAACUUAAGCAUAUCAAUAAGCGGAGGA
rnacentral:misc_RNA from 1 species